rnacentral:lncRNA from 1 species
AUUUACAACGGGAUAGUGCUCUUUUUCAUUUCUCACUUGACAUGUUCAUUAACCAAAGCAGCGAAUUCGAAACGCAAAAUCUGCUAAAAAGAACAAAUGGUCAUCUAAUCAUGUGGAUGAGAAUUCCAAUUAAGACUUUUCAAAGUGGUCUUUAGUUCAUAUGCUAAUAUUCUCAAUUAAAAGGUUUCACAUGUAAUGGCAAAAAUGUAUUAAUUGGAUGGUAUCACAAAAUUGACACGUUUAUAUUACAUUCCAUUUGUCAGCCACGGCCUCACAAAUCUUUGAAAUACACCAGGCAGCACUCAAUGGAUAUCCAGAAACUGCGAAAAACAGAAAUAAUGACAGUCAAGAUGUUGCUCCAAAUACAAAUCACAUCAAUGACAAUCGUUAAUGUUAAAAUAACUGAUUAGAAUUUGAUAAUGAUACAAAAAUACAUCACCAUAUCAAACCAUAUUAUACUUAAAAUAAAAGCACACACACACUUUUGUUAUUAAUGCACUUUGAAAUUUGCCAAUCCUUAUUGCUUGAACUAGAGAGAAAUAAAUUGAUCUUGCUAACAUAGGAUGAAGUGGAGAACAAUAUAUUGAAGGCAAAACUUCGAAUGAGGCUUCGUGGAACACAAGCAAGCUUAGAUGCCGUUCGAUUUAGGUACAAGGAAGCAUUAAAUGAGUUGGAUGUGAUGAAUAGGGAGUAUAGAGAGGCUACAGCAAACUUGAAGGAGCGGUUGGCUUUUUAUGCAAAGGAAGUGCUCAACCUCAAGAAGGAACUCUCGGGCCAACGGAAGUGAGUAUUAGAUAAUCCGUUUGUAUAUUCAAUCUUUUCUAUAUGGGUGGUGAAAAGCUUAAAAUGUUGUAUUUUACCUCCUUACCCUUUGUAACACAGUAUCUUGUUGUACAUUAUCUGAAAAUAAACUAUGGUGGCACCAAAGUUUAUCAAAACAUUUGUCUAUCUAAAUUGCAUGAUUUUUUAGUGCAAAAAAGGGCUCUUCAAAUGAAAUAGAUUUUACUUGUAGAACUUGUUGCUCCAUGGUUGUACCUUUGCAUUUUUUUUCAGUCAUUUCAAGUCUUUUAGUAUAUGGAUGUGCAAGUAUUUACAACGGGAUAGUGCUCUUUUUCAUUUCUCACUUGACAUGUUCAUUAACCAAAGCAGCGAAUUCGAAACGCAAAAUCUGCUAAAAAGAACAAAUGGUCAUCUAAUCAUGUGGAUGAGAAUUCCAAUUAAGACUUUUCAAAGUGGUCUUUAGUUCAUAUGCUAAUAUUCUCAAUUAAAAGGUUUCACAUGUAAUGGCAAAAAUGUAUUAAUUGGAUGGUAUCACAAAAUUGACACGUUUAUAUUACAUUCCAUUUGUCAGCCACGGCCUCACAAAUCUUUGAAAUACACCAGGCAGCACUCAAUGGAUAUCCAGAAACUGCGAAAAACAGAAAUAAUGACAGUCAAGAUGUUGCUCCAAAUACAAAUCACAUCAAUGACAAUCGUUAAUGUUAAAAUAACUGAUUAGAAUUUGAUAAUGAUACAAAAAUACAUCACCAUAUCAAACCAUAUUAUACUUAAAAUAAAAUUGGAAACAUCUGCAGGAAGAGUGGAGGAUACGAGACCAGCCACCAUUAUCAAGAUUCUUGGAAUAUGAUGGCGGAGUUGGAAUCAUUAUGUUUGGUCUACUUUUAUUUUGCAUAGCAUGGAAAAUUAAAUUAAGCAUAUAGCUCAUUCCUGAAAAUUGGGGAGCUAUUUUUCCUUGCUGAUAGUCUGAUACAUCAUUCUUCAGCUAGUAAGAAAAGGGAUAAUGACAUAGGAAGUGACUGAAGAUUUCCUAUUAUUCUAUUUCUAACUUCUAU